rnacentral:rRNA from 1 species
GAGUGAACGCUGGCGGUGCGCCUAACACAUGCAAGUCGAGUGCCCUGUACCAGACCCAUGAAUUGCUCCCUCCACAUACCGGACCCCGGUUUCUGGCAGAGAGAUACGUGGGAUCGGUACAGGGCACGGCGAACGGCUGCGUAACACGUUGGUACGUCCCCCGAACUCAGGGAUAUCCCGCCGAAAGGCGGAGUAAUACCGGAUAGUCUCAGCUUCUCCUCGAUCUUGGUUUCUUGCUUGCCAUCUUUCCUAUUGGGAAGCGGCUAGCGACUAGCGGCAAGCGAUUAGUUCCUUACUAAUCGCUAACCGCUCACCGCUAAUCGCUUUCUCAGAGAAGAAUCGCUAGCACCGAGAUUGAAGAGAAGCUGAGUAAAGAUUUUUCGGUUCGGGAGCGGCCUGCGGCCUAUCAGGUAGUUGGUAAGGUAACGGCUUACCAAGCCUAUGACGGGUAGCUGAUUUGAGAGAAUGAUCAGCCAGAAUGGAACUGAGACACGGUCCAUACUCCUACGGGAGGCAGCAGUGAGGAAUCUUCCGCAAUGGGCGAAAGCCUGACGGAGCGACACCGCGUGAAGGAUGAAGUCCUUUUUGGAUGUAAACUUCUGUUGUGAGGGACGAAAUUUUUGACGGUACCUCACGAGAAAGCAUCGGCUAACCCUGUGCCAGCAGCCGCGGUAAGACAGGGGAUGCAAGCGUUACUCGGAAUUACUGGGCGUANAGCGUCUGCAGGUGUCCUGCUAAGUCUGGUGUCAAAUGGCGACGCUCAACGUCGUCAACGUGCCGGAAACUGGCGGGANUGAGUCACUCAGAGGCAUCUGGAAUGCCGUGUGUAGGGGUAAAAUCCGUAGAUCCACGGUGGAACGCCGAAAGCGAAAGCAGGAUGCUGGGGGUGUACUGACACUCAGAGACGAAAGCGUGGGGAGCAAAGGGGAUUAGAUACCCCCGUAGUCCACGCCCUAAACGAUGCGGGCUCGGUGUAGGAAUUUUCAAUUGUUCCUGUGCCCAAGCUAACGCGGUAAGCCCGCCGCCUGAGAAGUACGGCCGCAAGGCUAAAACUCAAAGGAAUAGACGGGGACCCACACAAGCGGUGGAACAUGGGGUUUAAUUCGAUGGUAAACGAAGAACCUCACCCAGGCUUGACAUCUCGGGAAUCCGGCCGAAAGGUCGGAGUGCCGCAAGGAACCCGAAGACAGGCGCUGCACGGUUGUCGUCAGCUCGUGCCUUGAGGUGUACUGUUAAGUCAGCGAACGAGCGCAACCCUCAUCCUCUGUUGUUUUUUCAGGGGAGACUGCCGCCUCCAAGGCGGAGGAAGGUGGGGAUGACGUCAAAUCAGCGUGGCCUUUAUGCCUGGGGCUACACCCAUGUUACAAUGGACGGUACAGAGGGUAGCGAACCCGCAAGGGGGAGCCAAUCCCACCAAACCCGUUCUCAGUUCGGAUUGCCGGCUGCAACUCGCCGGCAUGAAGUUGGAAUCGCUAGUAACCGUAGGUCAGCGAUACUACGGUGAAUAUGUUCCUGGG